GAUGAGAACAGAUUAUCAGGAGCCCUGCAGU
rnacentral:piRNA from 1 species